UGACGUGUAGCUCAGCAGGUAGAGCGAUUGGGGUCGAUGCCCAAAAAUGCGCCGGUUCGAAUCCGGUCACGUUAA
rnacentral:tRNA from 1 species